UCGGGAUAGCUCAGUUGGUAGAGCAGAGGACUGAAAAUCCUCGUGC
rnacentral:tRNA from 1 species